GGCUCAAUGGUCUAGUGGUAUGAUUCGCCCUUCGGGUUCUUUGCAAAACCCUUGCGCAAAGCGUGAAUGGGCGAGGUCUCGGGUUCGAAUCCCGAUUGAGCCC
rnacentral:tRNA from 1 species